rnacentral:ncRNA from 1 species
AAAUUUAAUAAAGUUUAAUUUUAGAAUAUUUUCAUUCAUCCUAUAUUAUUAAUUGAAAGAAAAAAUUACCUUAGAGAUAAAAGCGUGACAUCUUUUGAGAGAUCAUAUUAAUAAAGAUGUUUGCGAUCUGGAUGUUGAAUUAAAAUCAAUUUUAAGUGCAGUAGCUUAAGUAUUAAGUCUGUUCGACUUUUAAAAGCUUACAUAAUUUGAGUUCAAAUCGACGUAAGUCAGGUCGGUUUCUACCUAUAUUUAGUUUAUAAUUUUUUGAAUGAAAGAACUCUCCCUGCA